UACGUAGGGCGCAAGCGUUAUCCGGAAUUAUUGGGCGUAAAGAGCGCGCAGGCGGUAACUCAAGUCAGAUGUGAAAUAUCCGGGCUUAACCCGGAGGGGUCAUUUGAAACUGAGUAACUAGAGUACAGCAGAGGAUAGCGGAAUUCCCGGUGUAGUGGUGAAAUGCGUAGAUAUCGGGAGGAACACCAGUGGCGAAGGCGGCUAUCUGGGCUGAAACUGACGCUGAGGCGCGAAGGCUAGGGGAGCAAACAGG
rnacentral:rRNA from 1 species